GUUCCUGAGCUCAAACUAUCCACCUGCCUCAGCCUCCCAAAGUGCUGAGAUUAUAGGCAUGAGCCACUGUGCCGGUGACUUACCUCUAACCAACAGAAUAGAGCAACAGUGAGAGGAUGUCAAUUCUGUGGUAGGUUGCAAAAACUUGUAAGUUCCUAGCAGUCUUUCUCAUUGGUUUCAAGAUAAAAAAGCUUCUGUGCUGGAGGGACCCAUGAGGCAAAGAACUGAGAGCAGCCUUUAGAUAACAGCCAGCAAGGAAUGAGGUGCUCAGUCCAGCAACCACAGAGAAACUGAAUCCUGCUGAUGAUCAUGAGGUUAAGUGUGGAAGCAGAUUCUGUCCCAGAUGGACUUUGAUUGUGUCUUGUUAGAGACUCCUUGAUUGCACCUGUGAGAGGCCCUGAAGUGGAGGACCCAGCUAAGGUAUGUGCAGAGCAGUGAAAAAUUUGGCCUGAGAUACACGUUCCCUGCUGAGGUCGCACAAGGAACAAGGACAAGGUUAAAUUCUCCACAACUCAAACCAAAUUAGAAGCUCCCUGUUGGAUGACCAAGUUCUCUCUGAAAGUUUGUUGGUGACCACAGUUUAUUCCCUGAAACUGACUUGGCCACUAAUUCACUCUGUUCUCUUAGGUGAGUAGUUUUGUCUUUCAUUAAAUCGGAGGUGGUACACCCAUCUAGCAUUAAGAUCACCUCUUUCUGAUUUAAAAACCAUUGUCCUGGAGCUAUACUGCCAAGGUCCAAAUUCCAGCUCCGGGCCAUUUUUACAGCUGUAAAACAGUGGACUGGCCAGAUCGUCUCUCUAUGCCUCUCUUUCCUCAUCUGUGAAAUGCACCUCAUAAACUUAUUCUGAGGAUUAAAAUCAGACACUGCGUGUGAAGCUUUUUACAGUCUGGAACGUGGUAAGAACUCACUACACGUCCAAUUUCUACUUCUCACAGGAUGGUAAUCCUUCAAAUAGAUCAUUCCUACAGUCUCAUCCAGGCUCAAAUUCCUCCUGGACGUUGCAAAACAAGCACAUUUUCUCUCCAUCCACCAAAGUAUUAAAUGGAAGUUCCAACUUCCACUAAUUAAAAUAGAGAUGAUGUCAUUCAGAAAGCAGAACUGCAUUCCUCUUGCCCAAAUGUUCUUACAUCUGGUCCUAAUCAUUUUCUUCUCAUUUUUGGAUUGGAAAAAUAGAAUGCCAUGUCCAUAGGUUGUCCUUUAGAAAUUUAAGGGGUGAUUGUGAAUGAAAUGGUGUGAAGCUGGCAAAUUUGCUUCGAGUUUCUGAUGUCAGGAACGGAGCACAGGAAAGCUGAACAUCUAAAGAGGGUUUACCCAGUCCUCAGUGCGUUUUCUUUCAGAGCCCAGCCAUACAACACUACAAGUAACCACAUAGCUGCUAUUGAUGGUGAAUUCUUACUCCUUCUCCAUAGAAGACAUUUCUGGAUCAUUGUAAAGGCAGCUAGUUCUGAGUGCAAGGAAAAAAUAGGAAGCAGUCAGUAUUUCCCCACUGUCACCACUGUGAAAGCACAACAGAUCUGAGGCAUUUGAAACUGUUUAAUGUGGUCCCAUUACUAAUACUGAACCGAUCCAUACCUGAACAGAUGAGGAGAUUAAGCUGUAACCCUUACCAUCGGUUUUGAAAUACAAGUGAUUGCCCAUGAUAUAAAAACACAAAGCAAAGAUUAAAAACUCCAAAUACCUCCAGUGGUCUCUUCUGUCCUCAUUUUUCCCUGCCUUUUCAAUUCGUCUUAUUCAGGGGACAUAUUACAAAAUUGUGUUGGUACCCCAAAUAAUAAAAUACUUUACACACAGAGGAAAAUCCCUCUCAAGCGGCCUCAUUUUAUUCACCCAUGAACACAGUUAAUUUUCAGUUUUCACGAGAAUGAGGAGUUCCCAAUACACUGAAAGAAAAAAUGUCAACGUUAGCUCCCCUCGUUGUUGUUACAGAAAUAACAGGACACUUACCACUCCAGACAGCUGAGCUGUGUCCAGGUGAUACAAAUGGAUCCUACCAUUUACCUCAACUGAGUAUGCUCAGAAAACAAAUGUAACCUUAUAAAAUAAUAAAUAAAAGUGUUUUUAUGGAAUUUAUGUUUUUUGGUGUAAUAUUAGCUGUUUUUGAUAUUUCAUACUGGUGUGAUUUCUCUGUUAGCAAAUUUCAAAUUUGCUUUCUAUUAACUCUUGAUGAAUACUCAUUACACCUUAACUUUUAUACCCCUCCCAUAUAUUUUAUUUUUUCGAGACAGAGUCUUGCUCUGUCACCUAGGCUGAAGUGCAGUGGUGCUAUCUCAGCUCACUGUAACCUCUGCCUCCCAGGUUCAAGCGAUUCUCCUGCCUCAGCCACCCAAGUAGCUGGGACUACAGCUGCAGGCCUCCAUGCCCGGCUAAUUUUCAUAUUUUUGGUAGGGGUAGGGUUUUGCCAUGUUGCCCCAGGCUGGUCUCAAACUCCUGAACUCAAGCGAUCCCCCUGCCUUGGCCUCCCAAAGUGCUGGGAUUACAGGCGUGAGCCACUGUGCCCAGCCUCCCAUAAAUAUUUUAUUAUUGACAAACAAACACUAUUUAAAGAGCUUCUAUGAUCCUUUUUAAGUGCAGCUGUCCUUUUUGUAAUAUAAUUUCACAAGCUAAUUUAUCUGUUUGCACAUAAGAGGAUCCAUGAUGAAGGUCAGGUGUUUGGUUGAAAACGACAGAAGGCUAUCUCCCCAGGUGAGAUAGCAACCUUCCUUCCUCACUCCCUACCCUUCUUGCUGGUGGUCUGAUAUUUUCAUAGGGAAUAUUUGGCAAUUCCAAUGAGCAAGGACAGUCAAGUAAGUGUUGACAGUGUGCUUAAAAAAAAAAAAAAAAAAAGCAAAGCUGGAAUGGAAUCAAGAAAGGGCAAUCUUCCAAACUCAGCUUUUCUGCUUUUUAAUUUCAAGUAAUCCUCCCAAGGAAAACAGCAAUUUGCAAACCCUUUAAUAUUGUCACUCCAAAGGCAACACAAGGAUGCUUCCCAAUUUUCGAAAUAAGAAUGGUUCUAUGUAUACUAUUUAUCCUUCAGAAGUAUAAUAUUUUCUUUCCUGUAUAGAGGUAAGGUUUUAAAGAAAAGAUAAGGCAGGCUGAGCAAAUCACCUUCUGAAAUCAAUUAGAGUUGGGGUGCAG